rnacentral:rRNA from 1 species
GUGUCCUACGGGGCGCAGCAGUGAGGAAUAUUGGUCAAUGGCCGAGAGGCUGAACCAGCCAAGUAGCGUGCAGGAUGACGGCCCUCGUGGUUGUAAACUGCUUUUAGUCGGGAAUAAAAGGGGGUUCGUGAAUCCCGUAUUGUAUGUACCGUCAGAAAAAGGAUCGGCUAACUCCGUGCCAGCAGCCGCGGUAAUACGGAGGAUCCGAGCGUUAUCCGGAUUUAUUGGGUUUAAAGGGUGCGUAGGCGGUUUGAUAAGUUAGAGGUGAAAUGUCGGGGCUCAACCCCGAAACUGCCUCUAAUACU